rnacentral:sRNA from 1 species
AUACACCAUCUGAAGGAGAGGCACUCCCA